rnacentral:rRNA from 1 species
UAGAGUUUGAUCAUGGCUCAGGAUGAACGCUAGCGGCAGGCUUAACACAUGCAAGUCGAGGGGCAUCGGGAGGGAAGCUUGCUUUCCUUGCCGGCGACCGGCGCACGGGUGAGUAACACGUAUGCAACCUGCCCUCUUCAGGGGGACAACCUUCCGAAAGGGAGGCUAAUCCCGCGUAUAUCGGUUUCGGGCAUCCGAGAUCGAGGAAAGAUUCAUCGGAAGGGGAUGGGCAUGCGGCGCAUUAGCUUGACGGCGGGGUAACGGCCCACCGUGGCGACGAUGCGUAGGGGUUCUGAGAGGAAGGUCCCCCACACUGGUACUGAGACACGGACCAGACUCCUACGGGAGGCAGCAGUGAGGAAUAUUGGUCAAUGGGAGAGAUCCUGAACCAGCCAAGCCGCGUGAGGGAAGACGGCCCUAUGGGUUGUAAACCUCUUUUGUCGGAGAACAAAACCCGGGACGUGUCCCGGACUGCGUGUAUCCGAAGAAAAAGCAUCGGCUAACUCCGUGCCAGCAGCCGCGGUAAUACGGAGGAUGCGAGCGUUAUCCGGAUUUAUUGGGUUUAAAGGGUGCGUAGGCGGUCCGUUAAGUCAGCGGUAAAAUUGCGGGGCUCAACCCCGUCGAGCCGUUGAAACUGGCAGACUUGAGUUGGCGAGAAGUACGCGGAAUGCGCGGUGUAGCGGUGAAAUGCAUAGAUAUCGCGCAGAACUCCGAUUGCGAAGGCAGCGUACCGGCGCCAGACUGACGCUGAGGCACGAAAGCGUGGGGAUCGAACAGGAUUAGAUACCCUGGUAGU